AGUUGUGUGGCUCAGUGGUAGAGUGCUUGCCUAACAUGUGAGGCACUGGAUUCCAUUGUCAACAUGACAUAAAAAUAAAUGAAUAAAAUAAAGGUAUUGUGUCCAUCUACAUCUAAUAUAUAUAUAUAUAUAUAUAUAUAUAUAUACAUAUAUAUAUAUAUACAUAUAUAUAUAUAUAUAUAUAUAUAUAUGAAGAAUUAAAUGGAAAACUCACAUCUUGAAUAAUGUUUUCUCUG
rnacentral:tRNA from 1 species